UCACAAAACAGAAUUAGUGCUUUUAGUACAGAUUCUGUACUAAAAGCACUAAUUCUGUUUUGUGA